GUCUACGGUCUCCCCACCGGAAGUAGGAUAUCCAUAAUCACUUACCCUGUCUUAGUAGAGUGAGGAGUGAACGGACUCAAAGACAGUUGUCAGGGGGGCUCCGGCUUCUAAGGAAUGAGAAUGGGAAUCGGCACCGUUCCUGCUGUGAGAGCUUGACUGAUGCUAUUCUACCUUGCCUUUGUAUUUAAUGAUGUAAAGUAGGAAGGCCCACUUAGAGGUUUCCGAACGGUCACGCUUUACCGCCUUGCCUCCUCACAUUGGUAAGGAGGCUAUGAGCUAAGCUAUACUUGUAAUCAAAGGCUGAGCCCUUGGGGAACCAUCUAAUGCUUUACUAGACUAGCUACUGUAUGG